rfam:Camelus ferus unplaced genomic scaffold scaffold1460, whole genome shotgun sequence.
GAGGGUUUGGCUCAGUGGUAGAGCAUGUGCUGAGCAUGCACAAGGUCCUGGGUUCAAUCCCCAGUGCUUCUG